GAUGAACGCUGGCGGCGUGCUUAAUACAUGCAAGUCGAACGAAGCACCUUGGACAGAAUCCUUCGGGAGGAAGACCAUUGUGACUGAGUGGCGGACGGGUGAGUAACGCGUGGGUAACCUGCCUUGUACAGGGGGAUAACAGUUGGAAACGACUGCUAAUACCGCAUAAGCGCACAGUAUCGCAUGGUACGGUGUGAAAAACUCCGGUGGUACAAGAUGGACCCGCGUCUGAUUAGCUGGUUGGUGAGGUAACGGCCCACCAAGGCGACGAUCAGUAGCCGACUUGAGAGAGUGAUCGGCCACAUUGGGACUGAGACACGGCCCAAACUCCUACGGGAGGCAGCAGUAGGGAAUAUUGCACAAUGGGGGAAACCCUGAUGCAGCGACGCCGCGUGAAGGAAGAAGUAUUUCGGUAUGUAAACUUCUAUCAGCAAGGAAGAAAAUGACGGUACUUGACUAAGAAGCCCCGGCU
rnacentral:rRNA from 1 species